rnacentral:tRNA from 1 species
AUUUAAAUAGCUUAAAUAAAGUUUAAUAUUGAAAAUAUUAAGAUAAUUACAAAAUUUUUAAAUA